rnacentral:rRNA from 1 species
CCUACGGGGGGCAGCAGUCGAGAAUCAUUCACAAUGGGGGAAACCCUGAUGGUGCGACGCCGCGUGGGGGAAUGAAGGUCUUCGGAUUGUAAACCCCUGUCAUGUGGGAGCAAAUUAAAAAGAUAGUACCACAAGAGGAAGAGACGGCUAACGCUGUGCCAGCAGCCGCGGUAAUACAGAGGUCGCAAGCGUUGUUCGGAAUCACUGGGCGUAAGGCGUGCGUAGGCUGUUUCGUAAGUCGUGUGUGAAAGGCGCGGGCUCAACCCGCGGACGGCACAUGAUACUGCGAGACUAGAGUAAUGGAGGGGGAACCGGAAUUCUCGGUGUAGCAGUGAAAUGCGUAGAGAUCGAGAGGAACACUCGUGGCGAAGGCGAGUUCCUGGACAUUAACUGACGCUGAGGCACGAAGGCCAGGGGAGCGAAAGGGAUUAGAUACCCUUGUAGUC